GAUGAACGCUGGCGGCGUGCCUAAUACAUGCCAGUCGAGCGAACGGACGAGAAGCUUGCUUCUCUGAUGUUAGCGGCGGACGGGUGAGUAACACGUGGAUAACCUACCUAUAAGACUGGGAUAACUUCGGGAAACCGGAGCUAAUACCGGAUGAUAUUUUGAACCGCAUGGUUCAAAAGUGAAAGACGGUCUUGCUGUCACUUAUAGAUGGAUCCGCGCUGCAUUAGCUAGUUGGUAAGGUAACGGCUUACCAAGGCAACGAUGCAUAGCCGACCUGAGAGGGUGAUCGGCCACACUGGAACUGAGACACGGUCCAGACUCCUACGGGAGGCAGCAGUAGGGAAUCUUCCGCAAUGGGCGAAAGCCUGACGGAGCAACGCCGCGUGAGUGAUGAAGGUCUUCGGAUCGUAAAACUCUGUUAUUAGGGAAGAACAUAUGUGUAAGUGACUGUGCACAUCUUGACGGUACCUAAUCAGAAAGCCACGGCUAACUACGUG
rnacentral:rRNA from 1 species